AGUGAACGCUGGCGGUAGGCCUAACACAUGCAAGUCGAACGGCAGCACAGUAAGAGCUUGCUCUUACGGGUGGCGAGUGGCGGACGGGUGAGGAAUACAUCGGAAUCUACUUUUUCGUGGGGGAUAACGUAGGGAAACUUACGCUAAUACCGCAUACGACCUACGGGUGAAAGCAGGGAAUCUUCGAACCUUGCGCGAUGGAAGGAGCCGAUGUCGGAUUAGCUAGUUGGCGGGGUAAAGGCCCACCAAGGCGACGAUCCGUAGCUGGUCUGAGAGGAUGAUCAGCCACACUGGAACUGAGACACGGUCCAGACUCCUACGGGAGGCAGCAGUGGGGAAUAUUGGACAAUGGGCGCAAGCCUGAUCCAGCCAUACCGCGUGGGUGAAGAAGGCCUUCGGGUUGUAAAGCCCUUUUGUUGGGAAAGAAAAGCAGCAGGUUAAUACCCCGCUGUUCUGACGGUACCCAAAGAAUAAGCACCGGCUAACUUCGUG
rnacentral:rRNA from 1 species